rnacentral:rRNA from 1 species
AUUGAACGCUGGCGGCAGGCCUAACACAUGCAAGUCGAACGCGUGGCGGACGGGUGAGUAAUGUCUGGGAAACUGCCCGAUGGAGGGGGAUAACUACUGGAAACGGUAGCUAAUACCGCAUACCAUCGGAUGUGCCCAGAUGGGAUUAGGUAGUAGGUGGGGUAACGGCUCACCUAGGCGACGAGCCCUAGCUGGUCUGAGAGGAUGACCAGCAACACGGGGACUGAGCAACGGUCCAGACUCCUACGGGAGGCAGAAGUGGGGAAUAUGGCAACAUGGGAGCAAGCCUGAUGCAGCCAUGCCGCGUGUAUGAAGAAGGCCUUCGGGUUGUAAAGUACGUUCAGCGAGGAGGCGUGACUCGCAGAGGAAGCACCGGCUAACUCCGUGCCAGCCGCCGCGGUAAGAC